rnacentral:misc_RNA from 1 species
GAUGAAGAACGCAGCGAAAUGCGAUACGUAAUGUGAAUUGCAGAUUUCAGUGAAUCAUCGAAUCUUUGAACGCAUAUUGCGCCCGCUAGUAUUCUGGCGGGCAUGCCUGUUCGAGCGUCAUUUCAACCAUCAAGCCCUAGGCUUGCGUUGGAGCCCUGCGGCUGCCGCAGGCUCCCAAAUCCAGUGGCGGGCUCGUCGUCGUACCGAGUGCAGUAAACAUCCUCGCUCAGGGAACGUGACGGGUUCUUGCCGUGAAACCCCCCACAUAUCAAGGUUGACCUCGGAUCAGGUAGGAAUACCCGCUGAACUUAAGCAUAUCAAUAAGCGGAGGA